GUCUUCUGCAUGGCCUCCUGCUUGCUGCUUUCACCAUUGCUGGUGGAUGGCAUCUCUGCUGGGACAGAGGGGCAACUCACACUCCGGCCAGACUGGGCAGCACAGGUGCUAACGCGGCUUGGCUGUCACCUUCAAUGCAUCACCCGAGGCUGAGAGCCCCCCCUCGUCAUUCCUAGCUUGCAGCCUCACAAUUCCAUUUCCCCACCCAAAUACAUCCAUUUUAAUAUGCACAUCACAGGCAGGCAGCACAGUCACAAAGGAGCCCCACCAGCAGCAGUCCCCACAUGGUGGAACGGAUGGAUGACCAGCCACCAGCCUCGGCCUCUUGGCUCCCAACAGAUGGAUACUCAGCAGAGGCCUGGCACCGGAGUGCCACUGUCUAUGUGUCAGCUGUCUGUACCUCGGAAGCCACCUUCCAGGAGAGUGGUGGCCCGUAUCCGCUUCUGUCCACACCACUCAUACUCCUCAAAGCGGUUGUUGUUCUCAUGCUCGAUGUCCACAGCAUCAUCCUCAGCCAUGCAGGAGCCUUCCCUCUGUGAAGAGCAGAGCAGGAUCAUGCUGGGCCCAGGCCAUCCCCACCUGCUCCCCACAGUCUGCGACGAAGGCACAGCUCUAGCCCCAGCUGUGGUGUGCCAAGUGGGCCCUCAGCUCUAGGGCUCCUUUGAAGCAAACCAAUUUAGAGGUCAAAGACCUGGGCCUCUUCCCAAUAGUUUUCCACUGGAGCCCAAGGAGGGAAUGAGUGAGAGUGAAAGCAAAGGGAGAGAGCAGCGGACAGAAGGGAAGAAGCUGCUGAGACUACAUGGAGACCCCAAGAGCCCACAGAUUCAGGGGCAGUCAGCAGCUAGUGUCGGGGGAAGGGAGCGGGGAAGGAAGGUGGGUGGUGAUGGCCCCUCUACCUUAGAAAGGCAAUGCUCCACAUGCCUACUCAUCUCCUGCUCCGAUCCUGCCAGGGGGCGGUUGCACAGGGGACAUACCUGCCCUUCAUCUUGCUUCCUCCGUUUCAUUUUCCCAAUCCGAGCUGCACGGGGAAACCGAAAACAAAGCACAGAACAAGCACACGGUCACUGCAGCCCCCAGGGUCCCAGUGGAACUGACACAUUCUGACCUCUUGCCAGCCAUUGGCCUUUUUAUUCAGUGCCUGAUCUGGCCCUCAUCUUGAAGUACCUCCUGCUCCUUUGGGGACUGGGCUUUGCCAAGAGCACCUGGGGAGGAGACUGGUGCUAACUAAGCCAGUGAGUAAGUCCACUCUUUGGCCGAAGCUGGGGCAGGGUCUACCCAUACCUUUCUAUUUGCAGUGUUUAAUAAGAGUCCAAUGAGCGAAGACACUCCAUGUUGCUAGGUAUCUCUCCAGAAGGCCAAGACCAUGAACUCUUUUGGUGUCAGGAAAUAGAAGUCUAAAGAGCAUCUCUUGACUAGAACCUAACCCCUCCGGUUGCCUGACUUGGACUGCUGUUCACUCAUCAGCUAAAUCCUCUUUUGUUCCUGGGCCAAGAGCCCUGAGAUACAGCUCCUAGCACCCCACCUAGAAUCUUACCAGGAAGAAUUUCUCUGAGGUCCACUAAUCCCAUUUUACAGAAGAGGAGACUGAGGCCCAGUCAUAAAGGUAAGACAGUCUGGGUCAGACCUUUGGCAGCCAGGUCAGAAGGCUCAGGGAACCCUGAGAAGGCAGCCCUUAUUGUGCCCACCCGAACCUGUUUCAUCAUUUCUAAUCAGUACAGAGGGGCUGGCAGGCCCUGGAGGCAGAGGGCUGCCUGCCAUGUUGUCCCGCAGGGGGCUCAGUUCCAAAGUGCACACUCCAAGCCCACAACACUGCUAAUUAAUGCUGAGCGAUGCAAUCAUUUCUAAUUAGCUCACUAAUCCCUCUCUGUAGCCCUCCUGUCACUGAAGCAGGAAGGGGUCAAAACAAGAAACUCUGUUCCCUCUAGUCCCUUCCAGAAUGCCACAGCAGGAUCAGAGAUGGCUACCCUGCGACCAGACUGAUGGGGAGUGGGGAGAGCCAGCAAAGGAGGGAAAGGUUCCCCAGUGCAGGGCCAGGAAGAACUUUCUCAUGGACAGUGACCCUAAUGGGAAGCUCAUGAAUGCAAUCUAGGAGGGGAACACAGAUGAGAGCUGCUGUGUUACAAUUUAAGCUUCUACUGUGUGUCAGGCUCACAGCCUACUCAAGGUAGCUCAUUUCCUACCACUUGCUGAAGCUAGAUUGCAUUAUCCCUUUUUAACAGAUGAAGAAACUCGAAGCUUAGAGAGAUCAAGGUAGGUGUCCAAGUAGCUACAAAGUGGCAAAGGCAAGAUAGGAAACCAGACCUGACUUCAUAACCUUGAAUGCCCUUCUGUUCCAAGGGGACCCCCUAACUGAGCAGCAUCAACAAAGAUUGGUCCCAGUGAGUGUGCUAGGACUCCAGCUCCCGCCUGUUGUGAGCCUGAGGCAGGGAGCUACUCCAACUCCAAAACAGAGCAACCCCAGAAAGACCCAAACCAAAAGGAAGGCUACCAUCCUGCCAGAACUGGGCAUGGAGUUUGAGGAAACUUGGUCUGUAGCCCAGUCCAUCUCUUCAAUUUCCUGUGUUUUCACUAUAGGUGACAUGACUGUGUCCUAGCGCCCCACUUGACUUUGUGGACAAAGAUCGAGAACUCUUUGCUUUGGCUGCCCUAACUCUUGGAAUCUCAGAUCUAGGUAGCCUUGACACUCUAGAGCCAGGGCUGGGAUGGAGAAUGGACGUGAAACAUCAGAAAGGCAUUGAGCAAAGGACCCUGAGAGUUCUAGAAGUGUAGUGUGGAGCAGUGUGCCAACACAAAGCUUCCUCUCUACCAUGCCUACACCAAGGGAAUGCCUCCCUGGGGAAGAAGGUGCUGAUGAUACCACAAUGUUCAAUGAGGAAACGAAUCUCAUGGAAUGGUCAAGAAAGGCACAAUACUGGAUGCGCUCCUUGCUCAGGACACACAGGCCAGCAGAUGAUCCCUUGUCGUCCCUGGAAAGCACCCUGAUGGACUGGGCUUCAUCUGGAAAUUCUGAGGGAAGGCAGGUUUGGUUUUCACCUUCCCAUUCAUCUUCUAAAUCCUGAGUUAAGCUUACCAAAGUGUGGUAGAGAAAGUUCUGUUCUCUAUCCAGAGGCUACGUACGAGUAGGAAGAAUCAACGCAUUUGCCAAGGAGGUAGCAUGGCGUGGUUGGAGAAAACACGGGCUUUGGUGGGAAACAAACUUCAAUUGAAUCAUGGCUCAGUUACAUCCCAGCUGUGUACUUUUAAACAAACCACUUUCACCUCUCA